AUUGAACGCUGGCGGCAGGCCUAACACAUGCAAGUCGAGCGGAUGAAGGGAGCUUGCUCCUGGAUUCAGCGGCGGACGGGUGAGUAAUGCCUAGGAAUCUGCCUGGUAGUGGGGGAUAACGUCCGGAAACGGGCGCUAAUACCGCAUACGUCCUGAGGGAGAAAGUGGGGGAUCUUCGGACCUCACGCUAUCAGAUGAGCCUAGGUCGGAUUAGCUAGUUGGUGGGGUAAAGGCCUACCAAGGCGACGAUCCGGAACUGGUCUGAGAGGAUGAUCAGUCACACUGGAACUGAGACACGGUCCAGACUCCUACGGGAGGCAGCAGUGGGGAAUAUUGGACAAUGGGCGAAGGCCUGAUCCAGCCAUGCCGCGUGUGUGAAGAAGGUCUUCGGAUUGUAAAGCACUUUAAGUUGGGAGGAAGGGCAGUAAGUUAAUACCUUGCUGUUUUGACGUUACCAACAGAAUAAGCACCGGCUAACUUCGUG
rnacentral:rRNA from 1 species